AAGCCGGGAGGAGGGGGUCCCGGGCGCCCAGGGCUCCAGGAGGGGGCGGCCUGGCGGCUCCUCGCCCCCUCCCGCUUUCUCUUCUACUUGUUGCCCCUGGGUCGCCUGGAUUUACGGAGUCACUGCAGCCAGGGCUGGGAGAACAAGACAUCUAGAAGACGGUGUGAGGUGUUAGAGGAAGCUGGAAAUUAAAAUGCCUGGGUUCCGGAGAAGGGCUGAGUCUGAGGGUGGAAAGGUCCUUAGGGAAGGUCUGAGUGAAGAGAUUGCAAUCAAUGGACCCAAAGAGGUGGGAAUACAAGCUUGCAACUGAGAUCAGUAUGGCGAGCAGAAGAUGACAGAAGAUCCAGAACUGAGGCUCACCCUUGCAGAGAUGGCCUGGAUUAGGGUGGGGAAGGGAGCGUCUAUCCAGGGCCUGAACCCACGGCAUUCCCCACUAAGGGGAGCCCCGAGGAGUCUUCUGGACCAUCUUCCCCCACCUUCAACCUGAACAUUCCCCUGUGUCUUCCUCCCUAGUCCUCAAACCCAAAGAGAAGAGAUUCCUGCCCUUCUCUCCUGGAGGUCUCGGCUUAAACAUCACUGCUUCCAGGAAGCCCUUCCUGACUCUGCAAGACUGUGUUCAAGUGUCCCUAUGAUGUGUUCCUGUAAACAUCCUGGCACUUGUCGCACUGUGUUCCCAUUGCCCACUCGACGUGAACUCCAGGCAUGAAGGUACCCUGUCCAUCUUGUUUAUCAUCAUAUCCCCAGGACCUAGCACAGUGCCUGGCACAUAGUAGAUGCUCAAAAAAUAUUUGUUACAAUAACAAGGCCAGCCUCCCCCGUGCUCAGCUGUGUCCCAGCCCUAGCGCCAGGCCAGCCCUCUGAGCCCUGGACUCACCUGA